GUGAAUCAUCAAAUUUUUGAACGCAGAUUGCACUCUCUUCGGAGAGUAUGCCUGUUUGAGGGUCAGCAUAAAAAAAAUCGACAUCGUUGCUGUUUCGCGGUGGCGUUCGUCGGAAAUUGGGUUAUCUUAAAUCUUUGGGUUAAGCACCUUAAGAUUUUCUUUACGAUUCCAUGAACGUUUCCAAGAUGUAUUUCUUUGCGCGUUUAAGGUAUCGAUUUUAUUGUGCGUGGUCGUCAUAUCGGAUCGUGUACAUAAUUGUUCGUUAACUGACCUCAGACAGGUAC
rnacentral:misc_RNA from 1 species